GACGGAGGAUGCAAGCGUUAUCCGGAAUGAUUGGGCGUAAAGCGUCCGCAGGUGGCAGUUCAAGUCUGCUGUCAAAGACCGGGGCUUAACUUCGGAAAGGCAGUGGAAACUGAACAGCUAGAGUAUGGUAGGGGCAGAGGGAAUUCCUGGUGUAGCGGUGAAGUGCGUAGAUAUCAGGAAGAACAUCGGUGGCGAAGGCGCUCUGCUGGACCAUAACUGACACUCAGGGACGAAAGCUAGGGGAGCGAAUGGG
rnacentral:rRNA from 1 species